rnacentral:rRNA from 1 species
GACGAACGCUGGCGGCGUGCCUAAUACAUGCAAGUAGAACGCUGAAGAGAGGAGCUUGCUCUUCUUGGGUGAGUUGCGAACGGGUGAGUAACGCGUAGGUAACCUGCCUUUUAGCGGGGGAUAACUAUUGGAAACGAUAGCUAAUACCGCAUAACAAUGGAUGCCACAUGUCUUUUAUUUGAAAGGGGCAAUUGCUCCACUACAAGAUGGACUUGCGUUGUAUUUGCUAGUAGGUGAGGUAAUGGCUCACCUAGGCGACGAUACAUAGCCGACCUGAGAGGGUGAUCGGCCACACUGGGACUGAGACACGGCCCAGACUCCUACGGGAGGCAGCAGUAGGGAAUCUUCGGCAAUAGGGGCAACCCUGACCGAGCAACGCCGCGUGAGUGAAGAAGGUUUUCGGAUCGUAAAGCUCUGUUGUAAGUCAAGAACGGGUGUGAGAGUGGAAAGUUCACACUGUGACGGUAGCUUACCAGAAAGCGACGGCUAACUACGUG